UACGUAGGCAGCAAGCGUUGUUCGGAGUUAUUGGGCGUAAAGGGCUCGUAGGCGGUUUGUCGCGUCGGGGAGUGAAAACUCAGGGCUUAACCCUGAGCCUGCUUCCGAUACGGGCAGACUAGAGGUAUGCAGGGGAGAACGGAAUUCCUGGUGUAGCGGUGAAAUGCGCAGAUAUCAGGAGGAACACCGAUGGCGAAGGCAGGUCUCUGGGCAUUAACUGACGCUGAGGAGCGAAAGCAUGGGGAGCGAACAGG
rnacentral:rRNA from 1 species